UACGUAGGGACCGAGCGUUGUCCGGAUUCAUUGGGCGUAAAGAGCUCGUAGGCGGCUGCUCAAGUCGAAUGUGAAAACUCGAGGCUCAACCUCGAGCCUGCAUUCGAUACUGGGCGGCUAGAGUCUGGUAGGGGGAUCUGGAAUUCCUGGUGUAGCGGUGGAAUGCGCAGAUAUCAGGAGGAACACCGGUGGCGAAGGCGGGAUCCUGGGCCAGUACUGACGCUGAGGCACGAAGGCCAGGGGAGCAAACGGG
rnacentral:rRNA from 1 species